AGCGUAGACGGCACGGCAAGCCAGAUGUGAAAGCCCGGGGCUCAACCCCGGGACUGCAUUUGGAACUGCUGAGCUAGAGUGUCGGAGAGGCAAGUGGAAUUCCUAGUGUAGCGGUGAAAUGCGUAGAUAUUAGGAGGAACACCAGUGGCGAAGGCGGCUUGCUGGACGAUGACUGACGUUGAGGCUCGAAAGGCUGGGAGCAAACA
rnacentral:rRNA from 1 species